rnacentral:rRNA from 1 species
UACGUAGGGUGCGAGCGUUAAUCGGAAUUACUGGGCGUAAAGUGUGCGCAGGCGGCCGAGCAAGUCGAGUGUGAAAGCCCCGGGCUUAACUUGGGAAUUGCGCUCGAAACUACUUGGCUGGAGUGUGGCAGAGGAAGGUGGAAUUCCGGGUGUAGCGGUGAAAUGCGUAGAGAUCUGGAGGAACACCGAUGGCGAAGGCAGCCUUCUGGGCCAACACUGACGCUCAUGCACGAAAGCGUGGGGAGCAAACAGG